AAAAAACUUACUAUUAUAUUUUAUAUCACAAUUUGUAUAAGCAUAAAAGCACUUAUACAGCCAUUCUGCUCGAAAUGGUACAGCGGUUUUUUAACUGGUGUUAUGAAUUGUAGCAACGCGAGAGUCGGCGUUAUAACAGGCUUGGCGGUACUCUGGUGCGGGUACUUUGUUAACGCUAAAAGUAGAAAGUAAGCUACUGCGUGACUUCUAGGGCGGAGUUUAGAAGAGUAGGCGAAUUAGACUGCGACAAAGUAAGU
rnacentral:sRNA from 12 species